CCCUUCUCAGGGUCGCAGCUGGAGAGUUUCCAGUCCUCUACCAGGCUCAGCAACUGGGGGGAGAGUCAAGCAGAUGCCUGUCCAUUCCAUUCCUAGCUUGACCAGUGGCUAGCCAGUGGAAGGCAAUCUGCAACAAGU